CCGGAUACCCUCCAACUCCCCCGCCGCUCUCCUGAUGCUCUCUCUUCAUCGUCCCCCUGUUCUGGCUUCCAAUCGAAAUCUAUGGUUUAUGGAUCUCGAGGGCAAGGGGGGAUCUGGGAUUAAUGGAGGAGAGGGGGAGAUCGACGAUGGAGAUCGAUGACCGGUUGGAGAGCAGAGAGGAUCGGGAGUGAGGACGGUAAUGAUCGACAGACGGGGC
rnacentral:lncRNA from 1 species